GACGAACGCUGGCGGCGUGCUUAACACAUGCAAGUCGAACGGAAAGGCCCUGCUUUUGUGGGGUGCUCGAGUGGCGAGCGGGUGAGUAACACGUGAGUAACCUGCCCUUGACUUUGGGAUAACUUCAGGAAACUGGGGCUAAUACCGGCUAGGAGCUCCUGCUGCAUGGUGGGGGUUGGAAAGUUUCGGCGGUAGGGGAUGGACUCGCGGCUUAUCAGCUUGUUGGUGGGGUAGUGGCUUACCCAGGCUUUGACGGGUAGCCGGCCUGAGAGGGUGGACGGCCACAUUGGGCCUGAGGUACGGCCCAGACUCCUACGGGAGGCAGCAGUGGGGAAUAUUGCACAAUGGGCGGAAGCCUGAUGAAGCAACGCCGCGUGCGGGAUGACGGCCUUCGGGUUGUAAACCGCUUUCGCCUGAGACGAAGCGUGAGUGACGGUAAUGGGUAAAGAAGCACCGGCUAACUACGUG
rnacentral:rRNA from 1 species